rnacentral:rRNA from 1 species
UGAAGGCGCCCAAUCUCGUCUGAUCUCGGAAGCUAAGUA